CCUACGGGGAGCUGCAGUGAGGAAUAUUGGUCAAUGGACGAGAGUCUGAACCAGCCAAGUAGCGUGAAGGAUGACUGCCCUAUGGGUUGUAAACUUCUUUUAUAUGGGAAUAAAACGUUCCACGUGUGGGAUUUUGUAUGUACCAUAUGAAUAAGGAUCGGCUAACUCCGUGCCAGCAGCCGCGGUAAUACGGAGGAUCCGAGCGUUAUCCGGAUUUAUUGGGUUUAAAGGGAGCGUAGGUGGAUUGUUAAGUCAGUUGUGAAAGUUUGCGGCUCAACCGUAAAAUUGCAGUUGAAACUGGCAGUCUUGAGUACAGUAGAGGUGGGCGGAAUUCGUGGUGUAGCGGUGAAAUGCUUAGAUAUCACGAAGAACUCCGAGUGCGAAGGCAGUUCACUGGACUGCAACUGACACUGAGGCUCGAAAGUGUGGGUAUCAAACAGGAUUAGAUACCCGUGUAGUC
rnacentral:rRNA from 1 species